UAUUACUUUCAGGACAGGAUUUAUUUUAAGGGCUAAAUUGAUCACAUGUUCUUCUUGAAAUUGGCAACAAUACUAAUAUUAAUACAUGUACCAGUAUCUGUAAUACCGGUAUUCCAAAUGUGUUCUUCUCUGCUCUGUACAUAAAUGUUGACUGCAGCUGUGUGAUGAGAAAUGUGGAAAAUGUUAAAUAUAUAUAUAUAAGCUUCCAUUCACUGGUACUCGUCUUUCCGUUCCAUUAUAAUUGAAAGUGUGACUUGAAAGACAUAGCUGCAAAUGUAGUUUGAUUUAAUAUUUCUUCAGAAGAGAGUAAGGCUGGGUUUGAAACGAGAUGUUAUACUCCCAUACACAUGUAUAUACCCUUAGCCUUGGAUGUUAUUUAGGAAUUGUUAUCGUUAGCCUUUAUUUUUUUAUUCAUAGGCCAAAUUAGAUAUCGAAAGAGAAAGAUUAUUGUGAGAUGAAGAAGGAAGAUGAGGGCUGCAUAUCGAUUGAGUCAAACCAGCUGCAUGGACAUUUAUCUAGAGAAGAGACAUUUAAAUCUCUUCUAUUUUUGUUGUCACACCCUGUAUGUCUCUAUUCUAGAAAUAAGAAUUCAAAUUUCUAUUUUCUUGUCACACCCUUUAUGUCUCUAUUCUAGAAAUAAGAAUUCAAAUUUCUAUUUUCUUGUCACACCCUGUAUGUCUCUAUUCUAGAAAUAAGACAUUUAAAUCUCUUCUAUUUUUGUUGUCACACCCUGUAUGUCUCUAUUCUAGAAAUAAGACAUUUAAAUCUCUUCUAUUUUUGUUGUCACACCCUGUAUGUCUCUAUUCUAGAAAAGAGACAUUUAAAUCUCUUCUAUUUUUCAUGACACACCAAAAUGUGUGCAAGUGUAAUUGAGGCAAUAGAAUCAUUUGAGUGCUGCUAGUUCUCUAGUGUUAUAGUAUUUGGGCCCUGUCUUAUAAACAGUUGCAACUAUAUGUAUGUACA